rnacentral:rRNA from 1 species
GAUGAACGCUGGCGGCGUGCCUAAUACAUGCAAGUCGAGCGAACGGACGAGAAGCUUGCUUCUCUGAUGUUAGCGGCGGACGGGUGAGUAACACGUGGAUAACCUACCUAUAAGACUGGGAUAACUUCGGGAAACCGGAGCUAAUACCGGAUAAUAUUUUGAACCGCAUGGUUCAAAAGUGAAAGACGGUCUUGCCGUCACUUAUAGGUGGAUCCGCGCUGCAUUAGCUAGUUGGUAAGGUAACGGCUUACCAAGGCAACGAUGCAUAGCCGACCUGAGAGGGUGAUCGGCCACACUGGAACUGAGACACGGUCCAGACUCCUACGGGAGGCAGCAGUAGGGAAUCUUCCGCAAUGGGCGAAAGCCUGACGGAGCAACGCCGCGUGAGUGAUGAAGGUCUUCGGAUCGUAAAACUCUGUUAUUAGGGAAGAACAUAUGUGUAAGUAACUGUGCACAUCUUGACGGUACCUAAUCAGAAAGCCACGGCUAACUACGUG